rnacentral:misc_RNA from 1 species
UUUCCGUAGGUGAACCUGCGGAAGGAUCAUCAACAAAUCCAACCCCAAACAAACCACACCCAAUUUAUGUGAACCAAAAAAAACUUUUUUUCACCCCAACAUUAUCUCGUACAUCUAGCCUAAGUUUAGAUGACGUUUUUUUUUCUUUUUCUUUUUUUUUUUCUUUUUUUGGAAAAAUUGAGUAAAAAAAAAAAAAUAUAAUCUUAAAACUAAAAAAUAAAAACAAAACUUUUAUCAACGGAUCUCUUGGUUGUCCCAUCAUUGAAGAACAACGCAGAA